AUUGAACGCUGGCGGCAGGCCUAACACAUGCAAGUCGAACGAGUGGCGGACGGGUGAGUAAUGUAUGGGAAACUGCCUGAUGGAGGGGGAUCACUACUGGAAACGGUAGCUAAUACCGCAUACCAUCGGAUGUACCCAGAUGGGAUUAGCUUGUUGGUGGGGUAACGGCUCACCAAGGCGACGAUCCCUAGCUGGUCUGAUAGGAUGACCAGCCACACUGGAACGGAGACACGGUCCAGACUCCUACGGUAGGCAGCAGUGGGGAAUAUUGCACAAUGGGCGCAAGCCUGAUGCAGCCAUGCCGCGUGUAUGAAGAAGGCCUUCGGGUUGUAAAGUACUUUCAGCGGGGAGGCGUUACCCGCAGAAGAAGCACCGGCCAACUCCGUGCCAGCAGCCGCGGUAAUAC
rnacentral:rRNA from 1 species